GGGCGUUCAGUUUAGGCCACCGGAAGUUAGACUAAUAAGAGAGCGGACGUGGGCUCAAAGAAGGUAUUGCAGAUUGAACGUGACGUAAUGAAGGGAGAAGCCGAAGUCUGUUAAAACCGCAAGAUCAUCGUGACAACCGGCUGCAGGAAGUCACUGACAAUAGUUACAGCGUGUACCUUUUAUUCGGUCCGUUUGCAGAUUAAACAAACCCUAAAAUGUUGUUGUUGUUAUUGUGUUCCUUGUGUGGUUGUAAAGUUCACGGAACACAAUGUAGCUCUUCAUCUCAGAGCUGUUACUCCGUCAUCCUCCUCUCAUCUGCCAGCUUCUCACUCCUCUCCGUCUGCUCAGCUCGACCACGCACAAGCUGCUCUCCCCUGCCCUCGUACUCCAAGAGCCCCCAACCCCCCCCACCGCAGUUAUUAUGUGAUGUGUUAAUGUAAAACUAUUACUAACAUUUGGACAGAUUUAUCCGUCAACAGUUGGGCCAGCACGGGACCGGCCAUGUGGGACUGCAGUCUCCCCAGGGGGGGCAGUUACUACCCCCCCCCACCCCGCCACCCUCUUUCUGAUGCCCAGUUUUAUCUUCAAGAGCAAAGGAAAGGUGGUUCUUCUUGCUGCAUCAUGCACCAAUAGUAGAGAUCCCACAGUGUCAAUUUGAUAGCGAUGCCUCUGAAGAAGUAUGUAAGCAAACCAGACUAGGACGAUUAUUUCUUGAUGCAUGUCAGGAGGAAACUGAAUGAGCGUCAAUAUUUUCACUGGCAAAGAUCGAGCAGUACGCUGACAUUAAAAGGAAGCAGGAGAUGAAUAAUAACACAUAUUUGGGCAACGUUCAGUCAACCUGAAAGCUGAUUACAUGCAUAUCUUCUAAAAAUAAACCCCCUUUAAACUUUGCCACCUCGCCAGUAGGUUGGGCUCCACAAGUUAAUGAGUGAAUGUUUCAUGUAUCUCGAUGAGGCAUCUCUACGCUCGUACUUUGAGCAAUAGAGUAAAGAACUCAUGAUAAUGUGAGUGCUAAUAUCGUGUGUAGGCGGAGUCACGGUGAGCGGGAGGAAUAAAGAGUCACUAGCAGGCUGUUAGCAUGUCAAAUUCACUAGCGGCCUGUUAGCAUCUCAGAGUCACUAGCGGCCUGUUAGCAUCUCAGAGUCACUAGCGGCCUGUUAGCAUCUCAGAGUUCACUAGCGGCCUGUUAGCAUCUCAGAGUUCACUAGCGGCCUGUUAGCAUCUCAGAGUUCACUAGCGGCCUGUUAGCAUCUCAGAGUCACUAGCGGCC
ensembl:lncRNA